rnacentral:lncRNA from 1 species
CGAAUCACACACACGGGCAGGCAGGGGCUCCGUCUCCUCUUCCCCAUCGCCUCACCUACGAGUGAUAGGCGCGCGCUCCCUCUCUCUCACUAGCCCCUCGCCAUUACUCCCCCAUAAAGGAAGAACAGAGCAAACGGAGAGGAAGAAGCGGGCCGGAGAAAGAGGAGGCCCCUCACAGCUCUGAGACUCUCUGCAACUCCGGCUCGCCGCCUGCCUGCCUCCCUCUGCCAACCGCGCGGCGCGGCCACCACGCUAGCCCCUCGUAGGUGAACAGAGCCUGCAGACUGCAGUCGAUAGCACAGUAAAUUCCGCGGCAUUCCAUUCCUCUUCCCUUUCG